rnacentral:rRNA from 1 species
AUUGAACGCUGGCGGCAGGCCUAACACAUGCAAGUCGAGCGGAUGAAGGGAGCUUGCUCCUGGAUUCAGCGGCGGACGGGUGAGUAAUGCCUAGGAAUCUGCCUGGUAGUGGGGGGUAACGUCCGGAAACGGGCGCUAAUACCGCAUACGUCCUGAGGGAGAAAGUGGGGGAUCUUCGGACCUCACGCUAUCAGAUGAGCCUAGGUCGGAUUAGCUAGUUGGUGGGGUAAAGGCCUACCAAGGCGACGAUCCGUAACUGGUCUGAGAGGAUGAUCAGUCACACUGGAACUGAGACACGGUCCAGACUCCUACGGGAGGCAGCAGUGGGGAAUAUUGGACAAUGGGCGAAAGCCUGAUCCAGCCAUGCCGCGUGUGUGAAGAAGGUCUUCGGACUGUAAAGCACUUUAAGUUGGGAGGAAGGGCAGUAAGUUAAUACCUUGCUGUUUUGACGUUACCAACAGAAUAAGCACCGGCUAACUUCGUG